rnacentral:rRNA from 1 species
GACGAACGCUCGCGGCGUGCUUAACACAUGCAAGUCGAACGGAAAGGCCCUGCUUUUGUGGGGUGCUCGAGUGGCGAACGGGUGAGUAACACGUGAGUAACCUGCCCUUGACUUUGGGAUAACUUCAGGAAACUGGGGCUAAUACCGGAUAGGAGCUCCUGCUGCAUGGUGGGGGUUGGAAAGUUUCGGCGGUUGGGGAUGGACUCGCGGCUUAUCAGCUUGUUGGUGGGGUAGUGGCUUACCAAGGCUUUGACGGGUAGCCGGCCUGAGGGGGUGACCGGCCACAUUGGGACUGAGAUACGGCCCAGACUCCUACGGGAGGCAGCAGUGGGGAAUAUUGCACAAUGGGCGGAAGCCUGAUGCAGCAACGCCGCGUGCGGGAUGACGGCCUUCGGGUUGUAAACCGCUUUCGCCUGUGACGAAGCGUGAGUGACGGUAAUGGGUAAAGAAGCACCGGCUAACUACGUG